GUCGAGCUCUUGUUCUCACCUGCGAACUAGCCCUGCGGAUUUGUGGAGCAGCACGAGCGGUCCCUAUGGUGUCGGGGCGAUUACGAAUGUCAAUGAAUGGAGAGUCACUAAACUUCCUUCCUACCGGUAGUGGUCCCCUUGCUACGGCCCUCGCUAGUGACUGUGACUGAAUGUUUGAACUAACUCCACGAGAAGCACCCAUUGCCACGAUGCCAGCAACAGACGUUUGUACAGCUGUCCGAAUUCUCGAUAUGCAAACAAGUCUUAACUGAUCACAAUACAGGUGAGGGCUAUUGUUACAAUUAUUUUCACAAACUGGAAAUGGUUCGUAUGUCACAAGGUCUGCGAAACGAUUUGCCAUGGCUUCAAGAUUUGUAACGAGCUCGAAGUAUGGCCCAAAGUUGAUCACGUCGUUACGACGAUGUCCUUGGCGUGGCCUUCUUGGAUAAUCUGUUUCUGGGUUAAACCCGUUCUGGAUUUGCAGUUCUCUAAAUCUUGCCCAAACAGCAUCAACAUACGCGUGAUGCAUGUAAAAGACGGGGUCCCAGGGCGCAGAGUUCAAAGCUGAUAUGUGUCCUCCAACCCACACGUGUGGGCCAUUAUGAUGGCCUUCCAGACUGUAGAUACUGCCCCUUGGGAGUGGUUCUGAGAUAUCUUGGAAUCUUCUUCGGCUUAAAACAGCCCGGAGACCCUCUUUUGUGAAUAAAGAACUAUCACCUUGUAAAAGAAAAUAAAAAUUAUCUCUAAUUU
rnacentral:sRNA from 1 species